rnacentral:rRNA from 1 species
UCGGGAAUUUUGGGCAAUGGGGGAAACCCUGACCCAGCAACGCCGCGUGAAGGAUGAAGUAUUUCGGUAUGUAAACUUCGUAAGAAUAGGAAGAAUAAAUGACGGUACUAUUUGUAAGGUCCGGCUAACUACGUGCCAGCAGCCGCGGUAAUACGUAGGGACCAAGCGUUGUUCGGAUUUACUGGGCGUAAAGGGCGCGUAGGCGGUUUGUCAAGUCAGUUGUGAAAUCUCCGAGCUUAACUCGGAACGGUCAACUGAUACUGUCAAACUAGAGUACAGAAGGGGCAAUCGGAAUUCUUGGUGUAGCGGUGAAAUGCGUAGAUAUCAAGAGGAACACCUGAGGCGAAGGCGGGUUGCUGGGCUGAUACUGACGCUGAAGCGCGAAAGCUAGGGUAGCAAACGGGAUUAGAUACCCUCGUAGUCCCUGAGCGGGCUGGCAAGGCGCAU